CCGCAUGGGGAUAUUUGCUAAAGAUUCAUCGCUGAUAGAUAGGCAUGCGUUCCAUUAGGCAGUUGGCGGGGUAACGGCCCACCAAACCGACGAUGGAUAGGGGUUCUGAGAGGAAGGUCCCCCACAUUGGUACUGAGACACGGACCAAACUCCUACGGGAGGCAGCAGUGAGGAAUAUUGGUCAAUGGGCGCGAGCCUGAACCAGCCAAGUCGCGUGAGGGAUGAAGGUUCUAUGGAUCGUAAACCUCUUUUAUAAGGGAAUAAAGUGUGGGACGUGUCCUAUUUUGUAUGUACCUUAUGAAUAAGGAUCGGCUAACUCCGUGCCAGCAGCCGCGGUAAUACGGAGGAUCCGAGCGUUAUCCGGAUUUAUUGGGUUUAAAGGGUGCGUAGGCGGCCUUUUAAGUCAGCGGUGAAAGUCUGUGGCUCAACCAUAGAAUUGCCGUUGAAACUGGGGGGCUUGAGUAUGUUUGAGGCAGGCGGAAUGCGUGGUGUAGCGGUGAAAUGCUUAGAUAUAACGCAGAACCCCGAUUGCGAAGGCAGCCUGCCAAGCCAUGACUGACGCUGAUGCACGAAAGCGUGGGGAUCAAACAGGAUUAGAUACCCUGGUAGUCCACGCAGUAAACGAUGAUCACUAGCUGUUUGCGAUACACAGUAAGCGGCACAG
rnacentral:rRNA from 1 species